rnacentral:tRNA from 1 species
UGGAAUGUGGCUUAGUGGUAGAGUGCUUGCCUGGCAUGCAUGAAGCCCUGGGUUCGAUUCCUCAGUACCAC